UACAGUAGAGAUGUGACACAAUAGACCAUAUGCCUGGGCAAAAUUAGUUAUCUCCAGAUCUAGCAUGUGACUGGAGGGGUUCUGCAGUACACCUUUUCCCUUCAACUCUUGUUAUUUCAUGUAGUCAUUUAAAUUGACAAUAAGAAACUGAGAACAUUACAAUGUGGGGUGAGGAAAGACAGCUUUGUAAUGCUGUUUGAUUGUUGGCCAAAGCUUCUGCAAGUGUUCCUGUUAGGACAUAUUACGGUACUAUAUACAGCAUGUUUAUAUUCUUUCAACAUGUUUAAACUUCUCAGUUAUAAAUUUCUUGUAUGUCUAGAAUUGCCUGGGAAAGCAAACCUGCACAACCUGCCGUUGUCCCUUUUCCUGGGCAAGGUCAACGCGCCUUCUGUCAGGUCGGUAAGACCUCAGAGGCAAGACUAGAACUCCACAGCAGACUGGGUGUGUUUAUAAUGGAAUGGGAUGAAUUUGGAGAAAGCUGAGUGAUUUAUAUGAGAUGCAAUUAUAGAAGAGUGAUAGUAAGAGAUCAAAGGAUGUUGAUUCAGUUGUAUAAUUUGGCCUCAAGACUAUUAAACAUGGGUUGCAGUUCACCAGGGGAAUUUUCUUUCUGCUUGCCUGUUCUCCUCCCAGCCAGAGAGGGGGGAAGGGGGAUAGGAAAAAACUGUUUUCAUUUCUACCAAGCUGAAGCAGAGCUCAAGGGGGAAGUAUCUGGAGCAUAGCUGUGUGACAUACUCCUUUGCUUACCUAGAUUUUUUUAAAUUCCUUUUCUUCCUACUUUGGAAGGUUUUGUAGCAAACUCUAUUAAAUGUGAAUGUUUAUCACACACUGAAUUUGGCUUUUUUAUCUAACAGCAGGCAAGUUCUUCAAGAUGCUUUUCUCCGUGACAGAUAACAAAAAGUGUAAAUGGGAAAACUUAUAGAACUCUUUCUGUUUUAGUGCUAGAAGCAUGUGAACAGUGAAACUGCAGAAGUUCAGAAAUGCAAAUAGGAAUGCACUUCAUUGUUCCUCCCUCAACAUGUUCCAACAUGUAUCUAUUGCCGCAGAAUGGAGACUUCCUUCUUGUGUCCUUGCCCAGGAAAAAAAAAAAAAAAGGAAACUAAAAAAUACUCCUACAUUAAGCUCAGGACAAAAGGAAAUAAAUUGUGCAUAGAGAGGCUGGUGCAUACUUAAAUUCCUGUGCCAAAUGAAGAGUCUAGUAAUUUUUCAGUGAUAUAAAUCAUGACCAAGAUUUCCCCAUCACCAAUGGAAUAUGGCUCUUUUAAUCCUUUGGAAAGUUAGUUUUAUUUACUUUGUCAUAUCCAGGAGUUUUUAGGACAACUUUGUGCUGUACCAUCAUCCAUGUUGUGCACCCACUGGACCCAUGGUAUAUUGUCCUGCUAUUUACAGCAGUAGGAGGAAAAGGGGAAAUAAUAUGGUCUUAAGAGAGUGAAGGUGUGCUUCAGACAUUGACUCUGCACAGUUUACAACAAGCACAAACCAACAGAGAAUUAAGCAGUGUUGUUCUCCUAAGGAGCUCUUCCUCCCUUGCUAAGGUAUUGGCUAUUCUCACGGAGUAUCACUGCAGGGAGAUACACUCUAUGUCUUUGUUCAAACAGCAUGGGUGAAUAACAUAUGUAUUUUGUUCAUUGGCUCAAAUCUGAAAAGCGAGAGGAGAGCAUGAGGAGGGAACAGACUGAGUCAAGCAGAAGAGAAACAAUUCAAAUUUUAAGAUAAAUUCAAAACGUUUUAUUUAAAUUGUGGGAUUUUCAGCGUCUUUUUCCUUGUCGGCUGGAAAAUUUUAAAACAAAAUAAUGGCGUUUUGAAAGGAAAAGUAAAAAAUUCAUUUAUAAAAAACUGAAUGAACAUUUCAGCUUUUCCAGACAAGCCUUCCAAUUUUAAAAAUGUCAAAAUGGAAAUGUCAAUUGUCUUUUUCUAUAACUUUUUAGUCUCUCCCCCAUCAUGUUGGUGAAUCAUUAAGUAUUUUUUCCCUUAAAUUUCCUGAGACAGAAACAUACCACAAAUACUUGGUCCAGCCAUAAACCGAAAUAGCCAUCUUCUGCUUAGAGGUUGCAAAAUGUGAGGUAUAUUCUUUGCAUUUUAGCCUCUGUAUAUCACAGACCAGUGUGGUUUACAUAUAGUUAAACUUUCUCUUGCCACAGACUGGAAGACCCUGAGAGAGGUUUGACUGGCUGCCCUGACUGGGUGCUUCCUCCAUUAUCACUGCAUUCUUCCCCACAGAGUGUAUGUUUGUUUUGGUGUUAUUUGGUUUAGGGUAUUAGUUUUAUAAUGUCUGGAAACUGUAAUCUUUGAAAAAGCUCUAUCUAUAAAAGAUGAGCCCAAGAAAGUAUUUUUAUUCCUAUUCAUUUGCAUCCAUCCUGGGGAAUAUAUAAAAAUAUCUGCUUUCUGCCCACCAGAAAUUCCUGUUCUGUGACAUGCUCUUCUCCAGUCUCCUCUCAGCUUUAUCCAAAAACAUUUAAUUUCUAGCUGUUAUUCUUCUUGUAUAUGGAAAGCCACUCAAAUGUCUUACCGUGACUACUACUGUUUGCUGUAUCAGUUCCACACACUAACAUGAUUUCCUGUAAGAAGAGAUGAAUAUAUUAGUUCUGCAGUGAAGUCAGAGAGGGGUGGUGGAAAAGAAAGCCUGACCAGUGUUUUUAAAGAGAAUAAUCUCAAUGGAAAAUGCUAAAUUGGUUCCAUGAUAUGAGUGUUAGAUGUACAGUCUCUCUCUAACACAGGCUCCUGACUUUCUCUUUGGUUUUCUGGCUGGCAAUGGAUAUUGUUGCUGCCACCUGUUUGAAGACAAUUGUGCAACUGGGACCAUGGAAUGAUGUCCAGUUGCCUUUUUUAGAAUAUGAAUAGGGCCUUUGAAUUUGGCUGUGCUGAGCAGUUUGAGGCUGAAUCACUCUGUAGACUUGCCAGAGAAAGUGUUUAGCCUAUGGACAUGAGCCAAAGCCCACUGAAUCUCACAGCAAGACUCUUUUUGGCUUCGGUGGGCUCUGGUUCAAGCUCUGCAUGAAUGAGAAUUUCUUCUCAGGAAUUAAAUAAAAUUCCUUAUUUUUAGUUUCUCUUUUUAUUUUCCCAUAGAUUCUCACCUGUACUUUUCCAUUUGAAUCACUCCUGCUUUGCUCCACUCAUCCCUGCUCUGGAGCUGGAGUGUUAGGGAUGAUGGCAACACAGAUGCUCAGUCAUGAAUAAGGCAGGUACAAGGAGCUGUCUCAGAGCUCAGCUGCCUGAACUGCACUGUACCCACUGUCCACUUUUACUUGCAUUUCAUUUCUGAAUGUGUGCUAUUUUGGAAUGCCUCAAAUGCUGUCGGACUUCAAGCUAUUUUGGACGUGAGCAUGUCAUUUCCUCUCCCUCUGCUGCAAUCACAGUUGGAUCCUGCAGACAUUUCCCAUAACAGGCCUCAGUUAUCAACGGCAGGAGUUUUAGUGUAUUUCCCUUUGCAAAGACUUUUCUUGCCAGAUGGGAGUUGUUAGUUGUUUAUAUCAGGCUAUGAGUAAUGCCCUUUCGCUAGCACUGUACACAUUGCUUUUUUUGACAUUUAUUCCUUCUGUUGUUAUACAAUGUUAGCUUUGCAAGUUAUAAAGAACAACCUUUUUCCCUCAGGUGUCCUUUUGUGUGCUUUUUGCUCCAUUUUUUUUUCAGAUCCUCUCUUCCAAUUUUGAAGGUAAAAUGAAUGUAUAAAAAUAGAAAAAAGAACAACAAACUUUCCCAGUCUCCUACUCACUGCUGUGAGUAGAUCCUAGAAAUAGAUUUGUGAACCCAUUUGCCGGUUUCUCAGCUUCCGUUUCUUCUUGAACCUCCUUUAUGUCUGUUACAGGACUACUAUUUCAUUCUGUUUUCCUUGACACUGUUGGACACAACCUAAAUUUUACCAUCUCCAAGCUCUCCUAUUAAAUGGUGGGAUGAAUUCUUUCUCUGCAGACCUCACUCCCUUAUAACCCAUAUAGUAAGACCUUAUGUUAUGUGUCAUUGAGCAUUUUCCAUGAGAGGAGCCCUCAACCCAUGCUUAUUCUGAGUAUUGACUCUAGGUGUUUGGACAAUCAGCCUGAAGUCAUAUUUUGAUCGUGAAGAUUUUUCGUGAUAACUUUGGCAUCUCUCUCAUGCUCUUUCACUUCACAGAUAGAUAGAUAGAUAUUUUUUAAUCAUUCCAUCUGCUUGCUUUCCAAAUCUAAAGGGAUUUGGAUCCCUUUAGACCUGCUAAGAAGAUGGGUCUGUUUGAGCUUCCACACUAAGCUAGUUUCACCUUUUUUAACUUUACAAAACUGAAUUUGUUUUCCUUGCCCCACUGUACUGAACUAGAACCUCCAUGACUUGUUCUUACCCACUUGAGCUAUCUUUUACAGACUUCUAAGAAACAGCCUUUAACAACAAUAAAACCCUUUAACCAUAAAUAUAUGGGUAACAUCUGUACUCUGCACUCUACAGUGGUGGUAAUUUAGGAGAAACUUGGCAGAACUUCUAAUCUGAUCCUAAUUAUAUGGUUGCCCUUUUGCUUUUAGCCACUGCUUUGGAGUGUCCACCACUUAGGAGUGCUGAAGGCUUUGUGAGAAUGCACAAAGAAAGAAAAAACUGCUGUUAAGACUCUGUGUUCUCUCUAGCAAUAACUCAACCACGGAAAAAAUAAAGGAAAAAUGUACCCUCAGGUAUACUUUCCUUGAUGCACAUAAAUUCAAGUCCCAUGAAAAUGUUUAUUCGUAAAUAAGCAGCUUGGUUUAGUCUUGUUUCUCAAGAUUAUCUGGUUGUGAGUUAGAGUCUGCACUCGGUAAUAAGUGAAAAACAAGUUUGAUCACUGGAAUUCUGUUAUUUUCAUCUGCAAUAUUAUGCAAGAUCAAGGUAACUAAUUUUGUUGCCAGCUGGAGCUGCAGGGUAACAGGUUGCUGCUGGUUUUCCCUGUAGACAACAGUAAAGAACACAUUUUAUGUCAAAGUAAUUGCACUAACAGGUGCUGUUGAGCAACUGUGUUUUGGUUGCGACACUCUUGUGGCUCAGCACUUACCACAAAUGUUUAUAUAAAAAAAAUUCAGUUCUGCUUUUAAAUUCCUAUUCAAACUGACAAGAAAGAACAGGGUAAACAAGAGUGAAGCAAUGACUACAGUUUAAAAACUAGAAAGUCCCUUUCCCACUUCUGGUGGUUGAAUACUGCUGUCCUAUCAAAAGUCCUUCCUUUGGCACUUACCACAGCGACUGUUAGCAGACUUCCAGGGCUGGCAACAUGAAGACCUGUAAGAACUGAGUGAGAUUCUUGCAGUGGGAUACAUGGUGAUGUGAUUAUGCCACAUAUUUGGGGAAUAAUGUAAUUUCAGGCUCCAAACACCAGGCACUGUUGCACAGGCAGUGGGCCUUUUCACUCUUGCCUUCGUAGUGUACCCAGCUGCAGAGCAGUCAAUGAGAGGAGCAGUGCUAUGUGGGCUGGAGCCGAGUGCCCAGGAGCCUGCAGCAUUUUGGAGCAGGGCAAUUUCAGUGAGCUUAGAGAAGGUCACUUCAUGCCCCCCUAAUUUUUUGAACACAUUUAAGCUAACUGCUAAAAUAAUCACGUGUUUUGUGCCAGACUUGUGACUAUUUAAUUUGAGCUUUUCAAAGCUGUGGACAGCUGGGGAGAAGGGCACUGCAGAUUAAAUGUAUGAAUUGAACCAGUGCAUGCCAGAGAUGAAAGCUUCAUGUGAGAUGCGCAAGAGUGUGUUUACGACGUUGUAGGUAUAUAUAGUGAUGCAAUGGCACUGAUCUCCUGGCACUGAUCUCCUAAAGAUGGACUAAAGAUGGGAAAAGUGGCUUUAGCUAUCUCAGUGUCCCCAUAAAACCAAAUCGUAUCUUAUUCAAACUCAGGUAUCUAUUCCAAAAUUCAAUAUAUAUAUAUAUUUUAAGUUAAAUAUUUAUGCCUGUAGCUUGCACAGUUCUUUGAAUCUAAAAGAAUCAGCGCUUCCUAACAAAAUAUGCUGAGAACAGUCUGGAGAUUGUACUUCCAUCUCUCCUUCUAGAUACAUCUCAUGCCUACAGCCUCCGGGCCUUUUGGUUUGUCUUAGCAACUUUCUCAGAUAUUCUUUUCUGGUCUUAGCAUGGAUAGAUGAUUUCUGGGAGGACUGCAAUAUUUGACAAGACCCAUUCUUUCUUCAGUCUCUAUUUCCUCAAUCUUUUCCUUCCUGGAGACAUUGUCUUUGCUUACUUGUGGGGUUUCUCCAAAUCCUCCAAUAGCUCCCUUUCCUCCACCUAUAUCCACCAGGCUUAUUUCUCUGAAACUUAUUUCUCUGGACUUACAGUCCAGUUACUGUAUCUUAAUUAACUGUUCAUCAUUACCACAGCAAAUGUAUACAUGCAUGUUCAGCAUCACAGCCAAGGCUUUGUAUGCACAGCUGUCUAAACGUCAGAGAAUAUGGGCUAAGAUAAUUCAUGUUACUUCACAUUCUGUAGGGUUGAAGAGUGUCUAUGGUUAUCAAAGCAGUCUGGACCCUAUAUACAACUCAUCCUGUGUUUUGGCAUCCUAAGAUUUCCCUGUUCUCAUUCCCUUCACUCCAUUCUGAUUGUGAUGAGUAAUUCUUUUUUCUUUUGUACUAGUGUAGUACCACUGCCAACCAUAGUGUAGUACCAACUGCUAUGCCAUAAAUUGCAUGAUCCCACUCCAAGCCCCUUUGCUUCCACUCUUAUGAAAAUGAAAAACACUUUAAUGGUAUGGAGGGAUACUUGUGCAUGGAUUUGGAGGCCUCCUCUUGCUUUGGUUUGCUCAGUGCCUUUACACUGAUGUUACAGAUAGAUUACUAUUGUUUAGCACUUUUAAGAACAUGGGGUUUUAUAUUUUUUUUAAUAAAAUCUCUUUCUUACACGAUGCCCAUACUACAAGUGUCAAUAGCAUUCACAUUUUUUUUAUCUCUCCAUAUUCCUUUUUUUGUAAACAGCCUGAUGAAACCACUGAAGUUGGCACAUGUUUUAACUGAAUAGCCACAGUGUUGUGCUACUAUGCAAUACUUUCCCCAUCCUCUUUCCCCACCCCAGAUGUCACGUUCCCUUACAUGGACAUGUCCAAAAUGUGGUGAGCCACUCCUGGCAGAGACAGAGUUGGGCUGCAGAUGGGAAGCAAAUGAGGACAACUGUCUCUGAGGACAAAGCUGCUGUAGUCAAUGGGCUUUCCUUCUUUGUGACUCUCUCAAAGCUUUCAGGACCACUUCAGCCUACAAAGACAUAGUUUGUCUUGGUCACUUUUUGAGCACUUGAUUACAUAUAAUAAGAUUUUUAUUUUUCUGUGUAAUAAGGUUAAUGUGGAUACAACAUUUUUUUUUUUUUUGCUCUAGCAACUCCUCCUUGCCUUCAAUUCCAGAGAGGAAAUCCAAAAAUUUAGAUUUACUGGCAAUGUUAGAAGACAUUUGGAUAAAACUGGGGUUUAUCUGAAGUGAUUAUCUGAACUAGAUGAGAAGAAAGCAAACAGAUUUGGUAAUUUCAUGUAAGGAUACUAAGGGAUCUAGAUAUGAAACUCUAACUUUUGAGAUGUGAGACUAUGUGGUAACAAAGUAAAAACGGAUGGUGCACCUGGGAUAGAUAUGUCUUUUCAAUUCAUUUUUGCAUUUCCCUGAAAUGAGAGGGCUUGUUUUCUGCAGGGUGACAUGGAAGCUGUCAUCUCAUUGUAGAGCACCACGGGCAGUGAAAGGAGAUACAAACUGCUCUUUUCAUGAGUUGCUGGCUGUUCCUUCUGCCAUUCACUUGGCAUGGGAGAAAAAAAAACAGCCUGAUGGAAGGGCAGCAUUUUGUCUACUGUUUUGUUAAGAAAAAAUACCUGCAAACUAUAACUCAGCAGUUUUGCUGAAAAUGCAAGUGAAGAACAGGAGGUGAUUUACUUCAGUGAAGCUGAAGAACUGUGACUUCCUGCAGCAGGAAACCACCUCCUACUGAAAGAAGCUUGGAGGGCAACAUCUAACCCAGAGCAGGACUGCUGGUGGCCAGAAAGAGUGUUUAAGGGGGAAGGAAAGGGCGAGAGGGAGCAAAGCAGGGCUGAUUCUGGUACAAAUGGCUGCUUUUGGGUGGUACCAGCUCUGGGUUUCUCUAGGUGGGAGCAGGGCUGGCUGGAACAUGGGCUGCCUGUACUAGAGGUCUCUUGCUCAGCUUACAAAACUGCUUCAGAUGACACCACGGGCAGCAUGGCACACUGAUGCUACCAACCCUGCUUCACAGCCCGGCUGAAGGGCUGCUGUGUGCUCCUGGAUGCUCCCCAUGCUAAGGCUUUCUGUCACAACCAAAAACUACCAGAAGGGAGAAAAGCUCUUUUCUUUUUGGUAAAAAAAAAAGAUCUAGGUAUGUAGCAUCUUACUGAUUCUUUCAAAAAAAAAAAAAAAAUCCAGUAGAAAACAACUUCUAUAGCCAAGAGUUUGCCACCUGAGUUGAAAUCCAACUGAAAACUCUUUUACGUAGAGCAGAGAUCACCUCACCUGUCUUUAACUACUGCUCUUAUUUAUGAUCAGACUGCUCAGAAAAAAAAAGAGCUGCCUGCUGCCUGCUGCCUGUGGUGUGGUUUGGCUGCAGCUGGGCCAUGUGCUGUGCGCUGUGCAUCUCCCCACCUGCACCAUGCAGCUUGCUGUGGUAGGCUGCUGUGCUCUUGGGCACCGAUACUCUUUGCAUCCCUGGUGGCAGCUGCCAGUUGCUUUCAAAUCCCAUGGAGAGUCUGGUGGUGGUGGUGGAAGGAAGGAGAAGGAGAAGGAGAAGGAGAGGAGGGAGGAUUCACCCUCAAAAAGGCUGUUUCUGUUUAACUCCAUGCAAACUCAGCUGCCACACACCAUCAUGCAAGAAGUCUUCCUGAAAACACGGCAGUACUUUCACAGCCCCUUCCAAACUUUCCUUGGAUGAAGCUGAACUUGGCCCUUGCUCAGGAGGAGUGGUUGAGCAUUUUUUAAAGCUGUUGUUCCUUAACAGAAAGGCUCUUUUCCUAACAGAAAAUAAAGGCCUUACAUUGCCAACCUUUCUGCCUGCAGACGGGAAUUAUAAAUGGCUUCAACAUUUUGCUUGUGUCUGCCCACACCGACAAUGAUUGUUAAAAAUUAGCUCCAGGUCUGCAGCUAUUCAGAUAUGUAAUGUUUAUAUAUCUGUUUUCCUCUCAGUGUCCAGCCCCAUGGCUUUCUCACAAACUCUGCUUUCUUUACCGUGCAGGGUGGAAAUGCACACUCGCUGUCAUGAGACUACUGGUAAAAUAUCAACCAGAGCAGCAGCAACCAGGUGGUGAACAUCUUCAGCUCGCUGCAGGUGGUAUCAGCUGAUUGAGAAAGAGGAAAGACACAUUCAUGGAUGCUAGAGGCAAGAGGCAAGGAGGUGAGGAAGUGCAAUGUGACAUCCCUAAAAGAGGAAAGAGGCAGCAGUGUCCUCACUCCUGUGCGGCUGUCAAACAGUACCCGUGUUUUCAACGCUGAAGGAAGAAUAUCGUGCAACAUGGAGCAGUGGUCUUACUCAGCGGGACACUUGUUUGCUUUUAUGCUUUAAGGCUGCUCUCUGCACAGAAGAGAAUUUUGGUGCUAGUUGCAUGACUUUAAAGCAGAAACUGAACAAGCUGAUGGUGCGGCAGGAUGGAUUACUGAAAUAGUAGCUGGAACUUUUCCCUCUAGGAAGGGAGAACAUUCCUGGAAAUGCAGUUUUUUACAAACAACAGACUUUCCCCCAUUUUCUCACCAUUGUUUUGAAACGUUAAGUAGUGACACAUAAACCAUCCAACUGUAAAGAGAGAGAUGUCACAAUACCAUAUGUCUCCAUAAAAUACAGAUAAAAGUGUAUCCUGUGUGAGUAGAUAAGUCCUUAUGGAA